rnacentral:pre_miRNA from 1 species
GGAGUGAACUCAGAUGUGGAGCACUACCUUUGUGAGCAGUGUGACCCAAGGCCCGUGGACAGAGUAAGCUGCCUUCUGAUAAAACUCU